rnacentral:tRNA from 1 species
GGACAGGUGGCAGAGCGGCCGAAUGCGCGCGCUUGGAAAGCGCGUAACGGGGAAACUCGUUCGGGGGUUCGAAUCCCCCCCUGUCCGCCA